rnacentral:rRNA from 1 species
GCAAGUCGAACGCGAAAGUCACUUCGGUGGCGAGUAGAGUGGCGGACGGGUGAGUAACGCGUGGGAAUCUACCUUGUAGUGGGGGACAACCCGAGGAAACUCGGGCUAAUACCGCAUACGUCCUACGGGAGAAAGGGGGCCUCUGAUUCAAGCUCCCGCUACAAGACGAGCCCGCGUCGGAUUAGCUAGUUGGUAGGGUAAAAGCCUACCAAGCCGACGAUCUUUAGCUGAUCUGAGAGGAUGAUC